AGUUAAUGAGCUUGUAAUAGCAAUUGUUUUGAAAACAAUAGAUAAAGAUUAAUUACUUUAUUAACUU
rnacentral:tRNA from 1 species